GCAUUCCAAGGUCAGGGUCAGUGAUUGGCCUAAGGGUCAGUGGUCAGUCACACCCCCACACAGACAGGCUCUCGCACCUGGAGAGGGUGGGGAUAGCUCCGACACAGUUUGGCCAGAACGCCUCACACCCAAUCCAGGAGGAGCCCCAUCACAUGCGAGAAUGGCUUCCUACAGGAUUGAACCUUCCGGCAUGCCUAACCUGUGAGCCACAUCCCCAGUCCCUUUUAUUUUUUAUUUUGAGACAGGUUCUCCCUAAGUUGCUUAGGGUUUCACCAAGUUGCUGAGGCUGGCUUUGAACUUAUGAUCCUUCUGCCUUAUCCUCCUGAGUUGCUGGGAUUAUAGGAGUGUGCCACAUUGUCCCACUAAUUAUAGAUGUGCCCCUCCGUUUCAUUCUUAUUGGUGAGUGCCCUCUCCUCUCAACUCCCUCCCCACUCUACUCCGGACACUGUUAAUUACCUUUUCUCUCAUGACUCCCAGAGCCCUAACUCUGGUUUCUAGGGCCUAAUGCUUAAGCCUCUUUUCUAUCUCUCCAGUCCUCAAAAUAAAUGAAACUUGUCUCCUAACAUGGUAAUGGGUGUUGAUACAUGUGUGCAAGGGAAUGAGGAAUUGAGAACAGGGAAAGGGAAACCAGAAGACAAUGUCUUCAGCUCUCUAGAUCUUGAUCCCAUGACACUAAUUUGGAGGCUGACCUUUCGUCACUCUCAAAGCCGAGCUGAAUGCCAUUGCUCCCAUCAUCUCCAACUGUUUCCUCUACUCCUAUGCCCUUAUCAACUUCACUUCCCUUACCCAGUUGCCUGGUUAAUAUGGACGGGUGUUAGGGUCAGGUCCAGGGCUGGCAGAACUGAUUAACUUGGACCAUCUCCA
rnacentral:lncRNA from 1 species